UCGAAAUGUUGUUAUCGCGCCUCCCCACUCUUCAAACCGUUGCUAAGCACGCCCUGCUGGGCCAUUAACAAAGAGACACUCGUCCUAUUCUUACAAUGGUUUAUUAUACUUAUUACAUACGGUGGUGAUUGAUGUUAAGAAACUGUGAAUAUCUUCAAAAACAUUAAUUUUUUGAGAAUAUUAGUAAUAAAAGUUUUUCUGGAGGUUAAUCGAGUGAUCAUCAAUUUAGGUUGAAAAUGAAUAAACUGGAUAACAUGCUGUGCGAUUUCUUUUAUGCCUUAACCAUACGAUGACAAUUUUCUGAUUUUAAUCUAAGUAUACCGAUGAAUUACACAUCAUUCUUUUUAUCCUGAUAUUAUAACAGACAAUAGUUUAGCUAAGUAUGCGGCUCUACAUUUUGUAUUCAAAUCAAAGACCGUAACACACCCAAGGAAAAGACUCCAUUCCAGCAUUGAAUCUAUGCAUAUAAAUUUUAUUUUCCAUUAGUUAACGAUAUAAAAAUUUCUUUUAACUAAUGUCUCCUUCGUAGAGAUUUCAUGUGAAUUAUUAUGCCAAUAGAAUUCAACCACAGUUACAAGGAAUAUGCAAGACAUGAAUCUGUUAAAAGAUGAUCAAUCAUUUUACUGGAAGAGAGUGCGCAUUAUUUUCAACAGCGAUAAGAAGAAGCUGACGAUACUGAAAUCAUGAAAGAUUUUGGAAGACACUGUCAUCUUUUUAUUCACAUUGGAAGAAACCAUGCUCAUUAAUAUUCUAUCAAAAGAAUUGAAAAAUGGAUGCAUCUUAGUUAUUUAUAAAUUAUUUUCUACAAUAAUUCUUAUUAAACUAUAAUCUCUUGCAGCUUUUUGACCGGUAUGAGUAUACAUUUAAAUUCUUGUUUCAGUUUUCGAGAUUUCUAAGACUAAUGCAGAGAAGUGCUGUUACUAUCGUUAUAAAAAUGUUUCUAAAAGAAAGUUUUGUUACGCAGAAGAAGUAUAACUUCUUACGUGCAUACAUAAGUAUACGCACCAGUUUUUUUCUUUUUUUUGAAUAAACAAUAACAGUAAUUUAAAUUUUAUAUAAAAAUAAUUCCUUCACUUAUUUUAACACUAUUUCUAGUACGGUUUUUUAUAUAACUAUUUCAACCAAAAGGUUUCUUUUUACACCAUUAGUAGAAAUAGGGUUAAAGUACAAAAAAUUAAGUUUUAUUUGCAUUUUUUGAAUAAAAAUAUGUAAUAUUGAUUCUGCUGUGGUAUGAUUCUAUUGAAAGCAAAUAUUUUCAGAAUCAGUUAAACUUAGAAUAAAAAAAAAUAAAAAUAUUUUAAAAUGUUUAAAUUUUAAACAUUUAAACAUUACGUAAAUGAUAAAUACGUAGUGGUUUCAUGAAAUAUCAAUAUUAAUAAAUAUCGUAAACGUUUAAA
rnacentral:lncRNA from 1 species